CCAGACGGACUUUAUAGGUCUCCACCUUCUCAUCUGCGCCCCUCUUCCUUUUAAAAAUCUACUUACACCCUAUGAAUUUUAUCUCUUCAGGUGAGUCAACCAAUGUCCAUAUAUUGUUGACUUUUAUAAACUCCAUUUUGGAUUUCAUGGCUUCCAGCUAUAUAUCAGAGUUAGACCUCUGCAUCGCAUCCAUAUAGGUGAUCGGAUCCUCAUUGCUUUCAUCUAGUUCAACUGGAUCCCCAUCUC
rnacentral:lncRNA from 1 species